CAUGGCGAGGAAGAACACCUUGGCCUCGUCUCUCUAAGCUGAUGUGAUGACGGUAAAGGAUACCAAGUAGGACCCUGAAAGCAGCAGUCUGCAGCAGCCACUGCAGGAAAGAUGAUGAGACAAAUAGUAAAGUGAGCAUUUUUAGAGACCGAGCUGAAAUUGCAUGGAAUUACUUACUCAUGGUUCAGGUGUUUGGGCUAGGAGGCAAAAGUGGAGGAGUGCGAGUGGAAGGUUGGGAAUUAGUAGAUUGAGAGAGUGCGUGGGUGUUCAUGUAAGUGCCACUAAAAUAACAGCGUCUAAGGAACCUACCGUGGUAAUGAAGAGCCUGUCUCACAACGUUUCUGUCAGAGCAGAUGUAAGGCACAGUCUUGCAUCUGUGAGGAUAUUAUAGAAAAUAAAUCAAUUUGGGUUGCUUUAUUUCUUAUGUAUUUUGACCCCUGGUUUCUGCACAGUCCACAGCAGGAGCAUCAUUAUUGGCUAAUGCCUCACCUCUGACUCUCAUGACAUCACCUUUGUCUGUAACAAAUCAAAAUGUGACUCCUUUUGGGAUGCUGGGUGGCCUUGUUCCAGUGACCAUGCCCUUCCAGUUUCCCUUGGAGAUAUUUGGCUUUGGAACGGACACAGCUGGAGUGACAACCACCUCGGGAUCUACCUCAGCCGCUUUCCACCAUAGCCUAACUCAGAAUUUACUAAAGGGUUUACAGCCAGGAGGAGCUCAGCAUGCAGCAACGCUUUCCCACUCACCUCUGCCUGCACACUUACAGCAAGCAUUUCACGAUGGAGGCCAAAGUAAAGGGGACACUAAAUUACCACGGAAAUCUCAGUGACUGCCAGCAAGCAAAGGAGACGAAAUGUUUAGUUGACUGAUGGAAUCUACCUGAUGGGAAAGUACUUAUGUGGUCAUAGGGCUGCUGUUUCUGUCGAUGUUUACAUUCUCUCGUCCCAAGCACUGUGGUGAGGAGGAAAAAGAAAAGAAAACAUUACUUGAGCAAAGCCAGGUGCAGGAGGAAGAAAUGCUUUUGUGCAAAGUUAGUGACCUUUGGUCUCUUCUAAAGAAUGACAAAGUUACCAUAUUAACAGACUUGAAAGAGACUCAGUUGUCAAACCCACAGAAAUACAAAUUUGAUUUUUCCCGGGGGAGGAAGAAGGAAGUCAGGAGAAUUUGGGUAAACUCCAUCCAUCCUGGGGGUUGGAUCUGAACACUUACAGACAUAAUUGGUAAUAAAAGGCAUUAAAAACUGGAAUUAGGCCAGUUUGUCAGGAAUAAUGAUCAUGUCUAUUUGAAUGGACUGUGUAGCAGAUUUGCCACAAAAAAAAAUAAUAAUGAUUCUAUCUCCGAUAGACAGUAGCUGAAGAAAUAGCACACCCUCGGAAAUCCUGAACAAACUUGAAUCUCCUCCAGUGUGUAGCAACUCCCCUCAAUCAGCGGACUAAAGAU
rnacentral:lncRNA from 1 species